UCCCCGUCUGUCCUUUAUCAUUUGGCGCCUGGCUUUCACCCAGGCGGCCCGGGUUCGAUUCCCGGCAUGGGAA